UAGACAUAAGAAAUAUAAAAACAUUUUUUUACUUGUAAAAUAUUAAAAAUAUAAAAAAGUGGUGAAGCAAUAACUUUAAAUGUUGUUUCUCUUUAUAAGAGCAACUCAAUUUGUGCUAUGGUUUUAUUAAGAUAAACUGCAUUUUGAUGUAAAUAAAAUAAUACAAUAUUAUAUAGAUCGUUUUUAAUCUGAUCGAUGGCGUACGAGCGUUUUUCAAUCCGCCAUGUUUGCCUGAACUGACCAUGUGUGAAACUUGUUUAAGUGAACUCGUGCGUCCGUGUCAAAGGCUGAAUGUUGAGUUCGAUGCUUUUCCUCGGAUUCCCAAUCAGACUGAAUUAAAUACGGGAAAAUCCGAAUUGCGACUACAAACUACACUGACACACCUAUGUCUGCUGCGAAGCUUUCAUACGUUUGCGUUUGGCUACUGAGAUAACUGUUGCACAACCAUGCACUUGAAACUUUGCCGGUCGAUGACAUAAGGUGGUAACCACUCAAAAACAGGUGAACUCUGAACUACUACUCUACGACUAAUGCAAUAAAAAACAAAAUGCCGUGUCAUGCUCGAAAGAA